GACGAACCGAGCGAACGUUGUUCGGAAUCACUGGGCUUAAAGGGUGCGUAGGCGGGCUGCCAAGUUUGGGGUGAAAUCCUCCGGCUCAACCGGGGAAGUGCCUCGAAUACUGGCGGUCUGGAGGGAGGUAGGGGCGUGCGGAACUAACGGUGGAGCGGUGAAAUGCGUUGAUAUCGUUAGGAACUCCGGUGGCGAAGGCGGCACUCUAGACCUCUUCUGACGCUGAGGCACGAAAGCCAGGGGAGCGAACGGG
rnacentral:rRNA from 1 species